UCCCCGUUACCGGGGCAGUCUAGCUAGAGAAAUUCAACUAACUAAAAGGGUUGCGCUCGUUGAUGGACUUAACCAAACAUCUCACGACACGAGCUGACGACGGCCAUGCAACACCUGUCACUGCGUUCUAAAAGCACAGUCUCCUUUCGGAGACCUUCGCAGGAUGUCAAACCUUGGUAAGGUUCUUCGCUUAUCAUCGAAUUAAACAACACACUCCACCGCUUGUGCGGGUCCCCGUCAAUUCCUUUAUGUUUUAGUCUUGCGACCGUACUCCACAGGCGGGAUGCUUAACGCGUUAGCUUCGCUACUACCGGAGUCGAUACCGAUAACAGCUAGCAUCCAUCGUUUACGGCGUGGACUAC
rnacentral:misc_RNA from 1 species